rnacentral:tRNA from 1 species
UGGCUCAGAUGGUAAAGAAUCUGCCUGAAAUGCAGGAGACCCAGGUUCGAUCCCUGG